UUCGGAUCGGAUUUUAGUUUA
rnacentral:piRNA from 1 species